rnacentral:pre_miRNA from 1 species
UCAACAUUCGGAUCGUCAUUUUACCGAGCAAUUUCACCCGCUCAGUGGAAGAUCUUCCCUUUGUCGU